GACGAACGCUGGCGGCGUGCUUAACACAUGCAAGUCGAACGGGAGUAUCGAAGAAGCUUGCUUUUAAGAUACUUUAGUGGCGGACGGGUGAGUAACGCGUGAGGAGCUGUCCUAUGCAGGGGGACAACAGUUGGAAACGACUGCUAAUACCCCAUAAGCCGAGAGGUAAAAGGAUUUAUCCGGCAGAGGAGGUACUCGCGUCCUAUCAGCUAGUAGGUGAGGUAACGGCUCACCUAGGCGAAGACGGGUAGCCGGCCUGAGAGGGCGAACGGCCACACUGGAACUGAGAUACGGUCCAGACUCCUACGGGAGGCAGCAGUGGGGAAUAUUGGGCAAUGGGGGGAACCCUGACCCAGCGACGCCGCGUGGGUGAAGAAAUCCUUCGGGAUGUAAAGCCCUGUUGUAUGGGAAGAGCAGAAGACGGUACCAUACGAGGAAGCCCCGGCAAACUACGUGCCAGCCGCCGCCGUAA
rnacentral:rRNA from 1 species